rnacentral:tRNA from 1 species
GCCACUGUAGCUCAGUUGGUAGAGCGAGCGAUUUGUAAUCGCUAGGUCGCCAGUUCAAUCCUGGCCGGUGGCU